rnacentral:lncRNA from 1 species
UAUGGCCAACAAGCUUUUCUUAACCGUCACAAAAUAAUGGAAAGAGGUGUUUGAUAAAUUACAAAGUGGGUUUGAAUUAAAACAGAGUACUUAAGUCAACCUAAAUGUGCUUCCGGUUGAUACAUUCCGGAGGUACAAAAUCUUGAAAAUUAAAAUAAACUACCGGAUUAUAUGUACCAGAUGUAUUAUUAAGGGCAUUUUUGUAUCUUUAGGGGGCCUAAAGAGAUAUUGAGGGGGUCUAAAAAGCAAUCCUC